rnacentral:rRNA from 1 species
CCUACGGGAGGCAGCAGUGGGGAAUAUUGCACAAUGGGCGAAAGCCUGAUGCAGCGACGCCGCGUGAGGGAUGACGGCCUUCGGGUUGUAAACCUCUUUCAGCAGGGAAGAAGCGAGAGUGACGGUACCUGCAGAAGAAGCGCCGGCUAACUACGUGCCAGCAGCCGCGGUAAUACGUAGGGCGCAAGCGUUGUCCGGAAUUAUUGGGCGUAAAGAGCUCGUAGGCGGCUUGUCACGUCGGGUGUGAAAGCCCGGGGCUUAACCCCGGGUCUGCAUUCGAUACGGGCUAGCUAGAGUGUGGUAGGGGAGAUCGGAAUUCCUGGUGUAGCGGUGAAAUGCGCAGAUAUCAGGAGGAACACCGGUGGCGAAGGCGGAUCUCUGGGCCAUUACUGACGCUGAGGAGCGAAAGCGUGGGGAGCGAACAGGAUUAGAUACCCUGGUAGUCCACGCCGUAAACGGUGGGAACUAGGUGUUGGCGACAUUCCACGUCGUCGGUGCCGCAGCUAACGCAUUAAGUUCCCGCCUGGGGAGUACGGCCGCAAGGCUAAAACUCAAAGGAAUUGACGGCUGAGACGNGCGACGACGACACGAGGAGAGG